CAGCCUGCGGGUGGGGGUGGGGGCGCUGGGGCUGGGGUACCCCUCCCCCGAGACCCUCGUGUUCCGCUACUGCGGGGGGCGCUGCCCCGCGCCCCCCACCCUGCACGGGCGGGUCCUGGCGGCGCUGCUGGGGGAGGGGGCGCCGGGGGGGGGGCCCUGCUGCCGCCCCACCCGCUACGAGGACGCCGCCUUCCUGGACUCGGGGCUGCGCUGGCAGCGCCUGCCGGGGCUGUCGGCGGCGGCCUGCGGCUGCCUGGGGUGAGACCCCUCCCCAAAUUACCCCGGGAGCCCCUGGAGACCCCCCCCAGUAACCCCUGAGCUCCCCCUAUUAACCCUGAACCCCUGAACCCCCCCCAAAAUAACCCCUGACCCCUCCCAGAUAAACCUGCCGGGGCUGCCUGGGGUGAGACCCCUCCCCACAUUAACCUGAGAGCCCCUCCAGUCACCCCUGAUCCCCUGAACCCCCCCCAAAAUAACCCCUGAACCCCCCCAGAUAAACCUGCCGGGGCUG
rnacentral:lncRNA from 1 species